rnacentral:tRNA from 1 species
GGACGCGUAGCUCAGUCGGUUGGAGCGCUGCGUUCACAUCGCAGAGGUCACAGGUUCGAGUCCUGUCGCGUCCACCA